UAUGGAGAAAGAGGAGACGGACGAGAGAGAUGAGAGA
rnacentral:sRNA from 1 species